rnacentral:sRNA from 1 species
CCUCAAGCCCCAGGACAUGUUUGUGGAGUCAAUGUUCUCUCUGGCUGACAAGGAUGGCAAUGGCUACCUGUCCUUCCGAGAGUUCCUGGACAUCCUGGUGGUCUUCAUGAAAGGCUCUCCUGAGGAAAAGUCUCGCCUUAUGUUCCGCAUGUACGACUUUGAUGGGAAUGGCCUCAUUUCCAAGGAUGAGUUCAUCAGGAUGCUGAGAUCCUUCAUCGAGAUCUCCAACAACUGCCUGUCCAAGGCCCAGCUGGCUGAGGUGGUGGAGUCCAUGUUCCGGGAGUCGGGAUUCCAGGACAAGGAGGAGCUGACAUGGGAGGAUUUUCACUUCAUGCUGCGGGACCACAACAGCGAGCUCCGCUUCACGCAGCUCUGUGUCAAAGGUGGGGCAGCCUGGUAGGCAGCACUGACUCAUUGGUUAGGCAUAGUAGGCACAAUGCCCACAUACUUUUAGGAGUCCACAGAAAUGUCUAAAUUUCCAUUAAAAUCAGAAG